rnacentral:rRNA from 1 species
UACGGAGGGUGCGAGCGUUGUCCGGAAUCACUGGGCGUAAAGAGCUCGUAGGCGGUUGGGCAAGUCACGUGUGAAAUCUCCACGCUCAACGUGGAGGCGCCACGUGAGACUGCCCUGACUCGAGUCCGGUAGGGGAGCGUGGAAUUCCCGGUGUAGCGGUGAAAUGCGCAGAGAUCGGGAGGAACACCCGUAGCGAAGGCGGCGCUCUGGGCCGGUACUGACGCUGAGGAGCGAAAGCGUGGGGAGCAAACAGG